rnacentral:tRNA from 1 species
GCAACAGUACGGCACGGCUCACCGCCGAGUACGGUUACGUCGUGCACGUCGUGAUCAUGGGUUGUGGCCGGGUCGGUUCGACCCUCGCCCGCAGCC